rnacentral:antisense_RNA from 1 species
CUCUAUGGCGGUCGUGUGUGGGGCACCUUCGGGUGCGCCGGGUUCCUUUUGCCCCGGUACUGCGAACCCACGCACGGCUGCCACCAAU